rnacentral:tRNA from 1 species
AGAGGUCUGCAAAACCUUUACCACCGGUUCGAAUCCGGUUGCCGCCU